AUGAUCCUGUGGCUAAACCUGGUGUCCUUCUUAGCUGUCCUCAGAGGUAUCCAAUCUGAGGUCCAGUUGGUGGAGUCUGGAGGGGAUGUGAGGAGACCAGGAGUAUCCCUCCGUCUCUCCUGCCAAGACUCUGGAUUGACCUUCAUCAGCCUUGAUAUGAACUGGGUGAGACAGUCUCCUGGAAAAGGCCUGGAAUGGGUGGCCUUCAUAAGCUCCACUUCUAUUACUAUUCGGUACUCAGAUAAAGUGAAGGGCCGCUUCACCAUCUCCAGGGACAAUAACGACAGCCAGCUGUAUCUGCAAAUGAAGAACCUCAAAGCAGAGGACACAGCUGUCUAUUACUGCGCAGGAGACACAGUGAGAGGAAGUGAAUCUGAAGCCAUACAAGAACUUUCUCUCUCUCUCAGAGCAGAUCUCCAAGUGGAUUCAGUCCCAGAAAGUUGA